GGAAGCGUAAACUCACCGUGAAGCACCACGGGCGUUGGAGGCCAAGCGCGAUAGGCUGCCGCACCGGGCACACUCCUGAACAAGCUGUGUGGGCUGCUGGGAAUUGUAGUUGAGACGAUGGCUCCAUUUUCUACAUGAUUGUGGCUUCCAGGUUAAAGCAGAGAGCCACCCUUUCCAGGCAAGGCUACGGAUAAUACUCUUCCCAUACGCCCUUCUCUGCCGGAGGCGGCCGAGGCAGAUUAAAACACUGUCAGCCAAUGAUCUGGUCACGAAAUGUCAAAUCCGCCAGGACCCGCAUAUGAUCGAUGAUCUCAUCCACCUGGGAAGAUUCCACCUACCAACCCCCUCGCCUCUGAUCACCAGUGAAAGGUGCUUAUGGAGAAACCUGUGUUAAACAGUGACUGGGCAAGAGAAGUAAAACGAAAUAGUGUAUUCUGUGACUUUGCCUUCAUGCAGAACUUUGGAUAUUUUGAACAGCCUGAGAAUGAAGGAGAGGCUUGAUACCCCCUACCUCAGUCUGAAAGUUAAUUUGGAAAUCAUUUGUAUUCCCCUUCCCCUCUCCCUCUCAAUAGACCCCCCCAAAAAUCAGCCAGAAUCCAAUGUAGUAAUCAACAGGUUUAUUUUCCUAGAACUGAAAUUGUCUACGGUUCUCAGAGCUAAACUACAGUCAGCAAUUUUUCAUCAGAGCCCUAGGGAGAGGGAGAGGGGCACGAGAUGGAAGAGAGACCCCGAGAAAGAGGCUGGGAGGGGCACUCACUUCCCUGUCCUCUCAGUGGGGACAAUCGGAUCUGGUGAAACACGGAGGGAGCGUGUGGGUGGGAAAUGACACCAGGAGGGACACCAAAGCCCCAGCUACAGAAGGAGCGUCACCAAGCCCUAGCAGAAGGGGAGCCUCCCAGUGCACCUCAGAAACGAGGGCAACAGCGAGGAAGAAAGGAGCCGAGUGGGGGCCACACAGAGGGAUAGGGAUCUUUAAAUUUUUUUUUUUAAUUUUCUUUUAUUAAAAACAUUUCCUAAAAAAUGUGUCUUCUCCUUUAUGUCUGGGUGACCUGUGACUGCAGGCUGGCCUUGAGCACUGUGGGGAGAGGGGAAGGGCAGUGAGGGGUCUCCCCAGGGCAUCACAUCUCUGGCCCAAGAUCUAAAAGGAGAAGCUACUCCUCAACACUCCCACCGAAGCUGAGCGAAGUCGGC